rnacentral:lncRNA from 1 species
UCUUUCUAAAAACCGGGGCAAAAAAAAAGGUAAAUCUCUCUCUUUCUAAAAACGAGGGCAAAUGUAUUUUCUAUCUUUCUCUUAAUAUUAUGAUUUCUUUCUUUAGUUUCAAUGAGUUAGUAAUCUGUGAAAGGCAAACAAGCAAGGUGCCUUCGUCUUCGGUAGAGCCACAGAUUUUAGAGAGAGAUGUACCUUCUCUCAGUAUGAAUGUACAUGAGCAAGACAUGUAUUUUGGGCUAUUUUUCUUUAUAAACCUAGUCAUGAUAUUUGUAAUGUGUAUUCUAAAAAAUGGGUUAUAACGAGUAGGUUGUGGAUCUCGUGAUUUUUUUUUUUUUGUGUGUGUUGUGGAUUUUCUGAGCUUCUUCAUCAAAAAAGUUCCUUCGUUCCAAAAAGAGGCACUAUCAAUUGCAACUUACUUGAUUUUGAAUGACAAAGUAUCGGUUGUUGCUCGGAAUUUUCGUAGGUUGGUUCUCCAAGUGCCUUAGAGUAGAGGUCCAAGAAGGAUGGGUUGCUAUGAAUUCUAUUGCUGAGAAAGACACCGUAGAGGUCCAAGAAGGAUGGGUUACUAUGAAUUCAGAAAUUUACUGCUGAGCAAGACGGGGUCUUUUUUCGAAGAAACUGAUCAAGACAAUGUCAUAUGUCAAUCCAAAAAAUUGUUAAAGACAUCUUGUGUUUUGCUUGCUUCUUAAUUUGUAGCAGUCCAUAAUGCUUGACUUGAUGAUUAUCAACAAUAGAAAUUUGGUUUUAUGCUUUCUGCGUGUCAAAAUUUCCUUCGCAUUCUUUUUGUUGAUGUGUUUGUGGGUAUUUGAGAGAGAGCUGAGCUGAGAACUAGUUGUUGAUAUGUGUAUGAUGGGAUCAUUCCCUGAAACACAAUAUUUUACCAUUUGGACCUCUCUCUCUACAUCUACCAUCGAUAGGAGCUC